rnacentral:rRNA from 1 species
GAUGAACGCUGGCGGCGUGCCUAAUACAUGCAAGUCGAGCGAACAGAUCAGGAGCUUGCUCCUUUGACGUUAGCGGCGGACGGGUGAGUAACACGUGGGUAACCUACCUAUAAGACUGGAAUAACUCCGGGAAACCGGGGCUAAUGCCGGAUAACAUUUAGAACCGCAUGGUUCUAUAGUGAAAGAUGGUUUUGCUAUCACUUAUAGAUGGACCCGCGCCGUAUUAGCUAGUUGGUAAGGUAACGGCUUACCAAGGCAACGAUACGUAGCCGACCUGAGAGGGUGAUCGGCCACACUGGAACUGAGACACGGUCCAGACUCCUACGGGAGGCAGCAGUAGGGAAUCUUCCGCAAUGGGCGAAAGCCUGACGGAGCAACGCCGCGUGAGUGAUGAAGGUCUUCGGAUCGUAAAACUCUGUUAUUAGGGAAGAACAAAUGUGUAAGUAACUGUGCACGUCUUGACGGUACCUAAUCAGAAAGCCACGGCUAACUACGUG